rnacentral:lncRNA from 1 species
GCCCCCAGCCCUUCCAGGCGGCCGAGAACGCGCCUGCCCUGCCCGCCCCUUUCAGGGCCGCGGGAGCGCGCCUGUCGCGCCCCUGUCCCACCCCACGCCCUUCAGGGAGGGCCUGCAGCCCGCGCCCACAAGCCCGGCGCCUCAGGGCCGCACGAGCGGCUCCAGCGUUUCAAUUCUGCCGCCAUCUUUUGGGCAGCCAACUUCCCAGCCUGCCUCACGCUCAAGCAGAUUAGGCUCAGGCCGCCAAGAAACGGUGGGCGGGGCCGGCGGGAGGGGCGGGGCCUGUGGGAAGAAAAGCACCAAAAUCAUUUACGACAUCUGCUCCUCGCGACUAGAAGCAAGCCGCUACUAAAAUGUCUUCUUGACUGCAGUACCCGCUUCACUGAAAUCAAAACAACCCGAGGGCGCAGCUAACCCGCCCCCGGCCCCGCCCCGGCGCCCUCGUGACGUCAUCCCCCAGGGCCGCUCGGCGCCGCCGAUCACUUGGAGCCACGUGCGGCCGCCGGCGGGCUGCGUAGUGACGCAGGCGCGAGACUGUGCGGUGGCAGCCAUGGCGGACGGUUGAGAUGAGGCUGCUCCUGGGUCUCGCGGCUAUCCAAGACCAUUGAGGGUCCCCGGCGGCGCCUGCCGUCUGCUGAGGCUGGGUGGACUCCUCUGCGGCAGAUCUCCUGUAAGAUGUGCUGGUUAAGGCUUCUGGCAGAUUCGGGUCAGUCCCAAGUGCGACCGGUCUUCUGGGGCUGCCGUCCGCAGACCCUUCUCGCAUCCACGUACCUGGCGGCCUCCCUCAUCGCGUGCUGUUGGUAGGGGGGCGAGUCAGGCCCUGUACACGUCCUGACAGGCACCCGGCCCACCCCCAGCCAACUGUGCGCUGUGUUCCUGCCCCAGCACGAGACCUGUGGGGUGUCCGCGGCAGAAGAUGUCAGAGCUGGAAGAGACCUGAGAGGCGAUCCCUUGGUGGGUGAUGGGUUCUUCCGGGAAUCUGGUGGUUUGCGCGCCUUGUCGUCUGCUUCCAGAACAAGGAUCUUCGCUGUACGCCAAGACCCAGACCCCUCUGACAUCGGAAUGACAAGUGGGAUAUUUAAUAAAACAGUUUCAAAUUUGGAGUCAGUCCAGCCUCUGUUGUUUUCUCUUUUCUGUGUUAGCUGCAAAGGGGAAGAAGACCCCGCCCUUGAAGGAGUUUCAGCCAAGUGUGAGGCAUCCCUAGGGUGUCUCCCAUUUUGUUGCUUGUGUCUUUGUAAAGUGCCCAGUGGGUGAUAGAGCAUCAGGAUCUGUACCUUGGGAUCCCAGAGUGGGUUCCGGUGGUUUGACGGGGUCUCCGCCCCGUCCUCUUCAGUGUGGGUCACACUGGGUCACACACUAGAGUAUCCAGACCUCCGCCUGUGGGUUGAUGCCUUAAGAAUGCAUGACCCUCGUGGUCUAUUUUAUUAGACACUUGGAUAAUGCACCGAUGGGUUACACCCACAACUGGAGCCCGCACGUAUCAGUCUUGGUGACCUUUUUGAAGGAGCGUCCGCAGGCCAGGCUGAGGCUGACUCGAGCCAGAAAAGACAGCCCGUUGGUGUUCAGGCUGUGAGUGAUAGGAACGGAAAAGUCCCCAGAGGUCCCUGCACCCUGAGUCCCCGAAGCUACACCCUGAGGGGGCGGGAGGGGGGGGUAGAGCCUCACACCUCAGAACCACCGGAUGCCAGGGGAAACCCUCCUGACAGCCUCACGGGCAGAGGAGGAAGAGAGGUCACAGCUCCUCAUGCUAUCAGAGUGAGUUGUGGCCUUCAUGGGUACGUGCUGCUCCAGGCGACCUUGGCGGGACAUUUUCCUGCUCGCCCAGCAGUUGGUGUGCCCUGAGAUGAGAUGAGGUGAAUGUUUUAUUUAUUCAUUUAUUUUUUGGGGGGCUGCUCCUGCGGCAUAUGGAGGUUCCCAGGCUAGGGGUUGAAUCAGAGCCGUAGCCGCUGGCCUACGCCACAGCCGCAGCAACGCGGGAUCUGAGCCGCAUCUGCAACCUACACCACAGCCCACGGCAAUGCUGGAUCUUUAACCCACUGAGCAAGGGCAGGGAUCGAACCCGCAACCUCAUGGUUCCUAGUCUGAUUUGUUAACCACAGAGCCUCGAUGGGAACUCCAAGGUGAAUGUUUUAAGUCCCAGUGUGGGUCUGGUGAUUCAGGGGAGCUGAGAAUCAAAGGGACUAGGGACAUGGUGCAAAAGCCUGGGGGGCGGGGAGCAUCUUAAAAUUGACCUGGAUUAGGUGAUGAGAGAAACUGCUGUCCUGCCCUCCAUCCACCUGUUUACACCUGUCACUGUGCCCCAACUUGUCAGACCUGUCCCUGGGAAGUUUCAGUUAGGCCUCCACUUGCCCUGCCUGAGACAAGGCAGAGACAGUGGAACCAAAGGGGUCCAAGCCGGACCCAGGAAGGGAAAGGAUGCUGUCUGUGCCAUCAUCAGCCACAUGAAAUAAAUGAGCCAGUGGGUGGCCA